rnacentral:lncRNA from 1 species
CCAGACCAGCCCCCUCUGAUCCCCCCCAGGGGUCUGCCCACUGAGAAACAACUAGUUUAGAUAUAUGAGGGUGUUGGACUAUCCAGGGUUGUCAGUUAUUCAUUUUUCUUUUUGUCAGUAACUUCUAGGAGACCUAUACCAUCUAAGACUCCCACAAGAAUUCUAUAUGGGGUAAAUAUAUGUAAGGAAUUUCUUGUGUUUUCUCCUAUUUUAUUUUAUGUACUGUUUUGCAAUUUGUU